UGUGUGGUAAGAUGCCCCAACAUCCCAUGACCUUUCGAGACCACCAAAAGACCAUCGUAUUGAAAAUCUGGUUUGUCACUCCCAACGGUCAGAUAGACCUCUCUGUGUCCGACACUUUCUGUUUCCUUCUUUCUAAGAGAUCAUCUUCAUAUCCAUCUGAACCAAUUUGGAAGAGAAAGAGAGAUCAAAUCCGAGAAAUGGGCAUGCAGCUGAUGAGGAGCUCCAGCUAUCAUCGCCAUCUUCAUCCCCACAGAGCUUCUAAAACUCCAGCAUUCUCUGCAUCUUUGCACCCCUUUUCUUCUUCAAUUGUGUUACAGAGGUCUCUUGGUUUUGAACAUGGCAGCACUAGAAGCACAGCGAGCAUAAAAAGAAGAAUUCAGAAGCAUGGGAUUGUAGCCUCAAGCAAUUUGGCUGCUCCACCUUGGGAGAGCUGGAAUCCUGAGAAGGGUUCUGCUUCUCCUUCUCUCAGUGACAUUGUUUGGCCUUCUGCAGGUGCUUUUGCAGCAAUGGCAAUAUUGGGAAGGGUGGAUCAGAUUCUAGCACCAAAAGGAGUUUCAAUGACAAUUGCACCUUUAGGGGCUGUUUGUGCUGUCCUCUUUGCCACUCCCUCCUCCCCAGCUGCUAGGAAGUACAAUAUGUUCUUGGCACAAAUUGGCUGUGCAGCAAUUGGCGUGCUGGCAUUUUCCAUAUUUGGGCCAGGAUGGCUUGCUAGGAGCUUUGCCCUAGCUGCAUCCAUUGCUUUCAUGACUUACACACGCUCCCCACAUCCCCCUGCUGCAAGCUUACCAAUACUGUUCAUUGAUGGAGCUAAGCUUCAUCACUUGAAUUUUUGGUAUGCUUUGUUCCCGGGUGCCGCUGGAUGCCUUCUUCUCUGCUUGAUUCAAGAGAUGGUGUUAUACUUGCAGGAAAACUUCAAAUUUUGAUCAUAUCUGGCAACAAACACAUGCUUUGCUCUCAGUCACAUACUUGGACAUAUACAUAAAUCCGUAGUUCAUCAAAUGGCAGCAGGUGGUGGGCCCCACAUAGUUUUGACUUGAUCAUCGUUCAAUCGGAACCGUGGAUCUUGUGCCACGUGUGGGGAUGAUGUCCACGUCGGGCGGUGGCCCAACGGAGCUGGAAGAUUCCCCAGGGGAGUUGCCUGGUGGACGCUGUCUUGAUGUGAUGCUUUUCGACGAUUCAGGAAAGGAGACGCGAUCCAGCCAUCGCAGCCGUACACGCGGCGAAACCCCAGGGACAUGGGUUUUAGAUGGUCGGUAGGACAUCUCCAAAAGUGCCUCGUGAUUCGAGAACAAGGGGGACACUUGUUAUGAGAUGUAUGGCAACUUUAUGUACCGUAAAGACAUGGGGAUUAAGAAAUAAAAAUCUUCUCCAUGCCUAAGUAGACUUUUGUUUAAAUGGGAAGUGGAUGUGGUUAGACUUAUUGUCCCAUAAGUUAACUU